UACGAAGGGGGCUAGCGUUGCUCGGAAUCACUGGGCGUAAAGGGUGCGUAGGCGGGUCUUUAAGUCAGGGGUGAAAUCCUGGAGCUCAACUCCAGAACUGCCUUUGAUACUGAAGAUCUUGAGUACGGGAGAGGUGAGUGGAACUGCGAGUGUAGAGGUGAAAUUCGUAGAUAUUCGCAAGAACACCAGUGGCGAAGGCGGCUCACUGGCCCGUAACUGACGCUGAGGCACGAAAGCGUGGGGAGCAAACAGG
rnacentral:rRNA from 1 species